UACAGAGGUGGCAAGCGUUGUUCGGAUUUACUGGGCGUAAAGGGUCCGUAGGCGGUUCGGUUAGUCAAAUGUGAAAGCCCACAGCUCAACUGUGGAACUGCAUUUGAAACUGCCGAGCUAGAGUGUGAGAGGGGUAAAGGGAAUUCCCGGUGUAAGGGUGAAAUCUGCAGAGAUCGGGAGGAACACCAGUCGCGAAGGCGCUUUACUGGCUCACUACUGACGCUCAGGGACGAAAGCUAGGGUAGCAAAC
rnacentral:rRNA from 1 species